rnacentral:lncRNA from 1 species
UAUAAAAAAGAAGAUGUGGUAUGACUGCCAAUGAGAAAACUAUCCACAAAAGACCAAAAUGACACAGACAUUAACAACUAUAGGUCACUGUACGGCCUUCAACAAUGAGCAAAGCCCAUACUGCAUAGUCAGCUAUAAAAGGCCCCGAUAAGAUGAUGUAAAACAAUUCAAACGAGAAAACUAACGGCCUUAUUUAUAUAAAAAAUGAACGAAAAACAAAAACAUAAACAAACGACAACCACUGAGUUACAGGCUCCUGACUUGGGACAGACAUGUACAUAAUUAAUGUGGCGGGGUAAAACAUGUUAGCGGGAUCCCAAUCCUCCCCUAACCUGGGACAGUGGUAUAACAGUACAACAUAAGAACAAACUAUAAAAAUGAGUUGAAAAAGGCUCAACUCAUCAGAUGGACAAAAAUACAAGUGGACGUGGCGGGGUACUUAUACAUCCCGACACAAAAAGACACAAUGAACAGAUCUGAGAGUACUCGCAGUUAUCUGACAGCUAGUUCAAAGCCACUAACAACUAAUAAAAAAAUCAUGCAUCUAAUACUAAACUAUCAAUCCGUAC